rnacentral:other from 1 species
AUCGUGAAGACUCUGAAGUUUUCUUUGACCAAAUCCAGUUUUUACCCAGGAUACACUCAAUUAUGUCAAGUCAAGUUACCGGAACCGUCAAGUGGUUCAACGAAGAGAAAGGAUUUGGUUUUAUCACCCAGGAAAAUGGCGGCCCUGAUGUGUUCGUCCAUUUCCGAGCCAUUGUUGACGACGGUUUCAAAACCCUCGCAGAAGGUCAAAAAGUCCAGUUCACCGUUGAACAAGGACAGAAAGGUCCUCAAGCCCAAAACGUCACUGUGAUUUAGGCGUUAGAUUUAAUUUGAAUUUCUGAAAGCCCCGACCAUCGGGGCUUUUUUG